CCUCGGGAGGCAGCAGUGGGGAAUUUUGGACAAUGGGGGCAACCCUGAUCCAGCCAUUCCGCGUGAGUGAAGAAGGCCUUCGGGUUGUAAAGCUCUUUCGCAAGGGAAGAAAACUUAUGAUCGAAUAAAUCAUGAGGUUGACGGUACCUUGAUAAGAAGCACCGGCUAACUACGUGCCAGCAGCCGCGGUAAUACGUAGGGUGCGAGCGUUAAUCGGAAUUACUGGGCGUAAAGCGUGCGCAGGCGGUUUUGUAAGUCGGAUGUGAAAUCCCCGGGCUCAACCUGGGAACUGCGUUCGAAACUGCAAGGCUAGAGUGUGUCAGAGGGGGGUUAGAAUUCCACGUGUAGCAGUGAAAUGCGUAGAGAUGUGGAGGAAUACCAAUGGCGAAGGCAGCCCCCUGGGAUAACACUGACGCUCAUGCACGAAAGCGUGGGGAGCAAACAGGAUUAGAUACCCUGGUAGUCCACGCCCUAAACGNUGUCAACUAGUUGUUGGUAGAGUAAAACUCUAUGUAGUAACGUAGUACGUAACGUACGUGUAGUUAGUACCGCCGUCGGGUAGGUACGGUACGGUCGAGAAGUUAAACGUAACGAAGAAGUAGACGGCGUGAGACGUGCGACGGACGACGACGACGGGAGGUUAGG
rnacentral:rRNA from 1 species